rnacentral:rRNA from 1 species
GUAAGGAAUAUUGGACAAUGGACGCAAGUCUGAUCCAGCCAUGCCGCGUGAAGGAUUAAGGUCCUCUGGAUUGUAAACUUCUUUUAUAAGGGACGAAAAAAGGCUUUUCUAAGUCGUCUGACGGUACCUUAUGAAUAAGCACCGGCUAACUCCGUGCCAGCAGCCGCGGUAAUACGGAGGGUGCAAGCGUUAUCCGGAUUCACUGGGUUUAAAGGGUGCGUAGGCGGGCAGGUAAGUCAGUGGUGAAAUCCUAGAGCUUAACUCUAGAACUGCCAUUGAUACUAUCUGUCUUGAAUAUUGUGGAGGUAAGCGGAAUAUGUCAUGUAGCGGUGAAAUGCUUAGAUAUGACAUAGAACACCUAUUGCGAAGGCAGCUUACUACGCAUAUAUUGACGCUGAGGCACGAAAGCGUGGGGAUCUAACAGGAUUAGAAACCCUGGUAGUCC